GGAUCUAUCGGCGACAAAUAAAUCAAUCAAAGAUUGAAUCCUGGUGUAUUUUAAGACCUGAUAUAAAACUGUGUUUUCCUAUCUGAAGUUGGGGCUGAGUUGUGUCCGUAACAAGACACGGCGGUUUAUAAUCAGUAAUAGCCGGUAAUAAUUACCCAUUUAAGACAAAGGACAAAUAUUCCUCUCUGACGUAGUGGGUGGUGUUAAUUAUCUUGCCCGUGGAGUCAGUAUUAUCAGAUCUUUGAAAACGGACAUGGCCCGGCUGCUUGUGCUUUGUUCUACCACGGCAGGGAUUUUCAUAUCAAAACUGUUGGAAAAUAACUGAUGGACAACACUCAGGGGUAUACGGUGUAAUUGAUUAUCCCCUGCCGACUGUACGGUGCCCUAGGUAUUGAUAAAUAUCCACUGAAAUGAGCUUCAAGACGAGUUUGCAUAUCCUCAGACCAAACAGACGAUCUGUCCGUACGAUAAAGUGAGGAUGAAAUCAACGUGUAGUUAUGUAUUGCUUUGUACGUUCCUUGUUGCCUUAGUCAUGCAAGACUGUGUUGGUAUUGGUAUGUCGUACUGGCCUAGUCCCACUAAAAAGGCUAAAAAGGACCUUGCUAAUGGCCCGGUUAAUAAGAACAUUGGGCUGAAUUUCCAACGAAGUCUGUGCGAAGCUGCUAGUAAUUUGGAUUGCAGACGAAUACUGGACAUGGACGAACCAGAGAAUUGGUGAAGAAAAAGAGAACGAUUAGUUGUAAUUACGAGAUUAGGAAGAAAAUCCCUUCAAGCAGUAUGUAAAUUUACAAACCAUUCGUGGUAGAAUAAUGAAAAACAAUGUAAAAUAAUAAAAGCAAGUCUUUUAGGCCUAA